GAUGAACGCUGGCGGCGUGCCUAAUACAUGCAAGUAGAACGCUGAAGGAGGAGCUUGCUCUUCUGGAUGAGUUGCGAACGGGUGAGUAACGCGUAGGUAACCUGCCUGGUAGCGGGGGAUAACUAUUGGAAACGAUAGCUAAUACCGCAUGACAACAGUUAUUGCAUGAUAACUGUUUAAAAGGGGCAACUGCUCCACUACCAGAUGGACCUGCGUUGUAUUAGCUAGUUGGUGAGGUAACGGCUCACCAAGGCGACGAUACAUAGCCGACCUGAGAGGGUGAUCGGCCACGCUGGGACUGAGACACGGCCCAGACUCCUACGGGAGGCAGCAGUAGGGAAUCUUCGGCAAUGGACGGAAGUCUGACCGAGCAACGCCGCGUGAGUGAAGAAGGUUUUCGGAUCGUAAAGCUCUGUUGUAAGAGAAGAACGAGUGUGAGAGUGGAAAGUUCACACUGUGACGGUAUCUUACCAGAAAGGGACGGCUAACUACGUG
rnacentral:rRNA from 1 species